rnacentral:misc_RNA from 1 species
CACAGAUCAAAAUUUCUGUGAUUUAUUUAGUUCAAGAUUAUGUUGAGCAAUUUUGUAAUGCUCCAUUUCGUACACUUUCUUUCUUAAUAAUGUAUCCUUGGAUGGGAUUGAUAUCUAUCCUCUGUAAUGUCAUUUUGUUUCCUAGUUCGGAACAUUUAAUAUUUCAGAGACAAUUUCUGUGCUUGUAUACUUAAUAUUAACAUAUGUAUCAAUGGUUGAGUAUAAUGCAUAUGAUGGCAUUUUGAAAUGCAGUGUUGCCUAAUAUUUAGAAUUUGAUACCUGCAG